rnacentral:rRNA from 1 species
UAAGGAAUUUUCGGCAAUGGGGGGAAACCCUGACCGAGCAACGCCGCGUGAGUGAUGAAGGCCUUUGGGUUGUAAAGCUCUGUUGUAAAGGAAGAAUAUGUAAGAUAGGAAAUGAUCUUACCUUGACGGUACUUUACUAGAAAGUCACGGCUUACUACGUGCCAGCAGCCGCGGUAAUACGUAGGUGGCAAGCGUUAUCCGGAAUUAUUGGGCGUAAAGGGUGCGCAGGCGGUUUAUUAAGUUUAGGGUGAAAGCGUUGGGCUCAACCCCAAUAUAGCCUUAAAAAAUCUGAUAAAACUAGAGUGCAGAAGAGGGUAGUGGAAUUCCAUGUGUAGCGGUAAAAUGCGUAGAUAUAUGGAAGAACACCAGUGGCGAAAGCGGCUCUCUGGUCUGUAACUGACGCUGAGGUUCGAAAGCGUGGGUAGCAAACAGGAUUAGAUACC